CUCCUACGGGGGGCUGCAGUGGGGAAUAUUGGACAAUGGGCGAAAGCCUGAUCCAGCAAUGCCGCGUGAGUGAUGAAGGCCUUAGGGUUGUAAAGCUCUUUUACCCGGGAUGAUAAUGACAGUACCGGGAGAAUAAGCUCCGGCUAACUCCGUGCCAGCAGCCGCGGUAAUACGGAGGGAGCUAGCGUUGUUCGGAAUUACUGGGCGUAAAGCGCACGUAGGCGGCUUUGUAAGUUAGAGGUGAAAGCCUGUAGCUUAACUCCAGAACUGCCUUUAAGACUGCAUCGCUUGAAUCCAGGAGAGGUGAGUGGAAUUCCGAGUGUAGAGGUGAAAUUCGUAGAUAUUCGGAAGAACACCAGUGGCGAAGGCGGCUCACUGGACUGGUAUUGACGCUGAGGUGCGAAAGCGUGGGGAGCAAACAGGAUUAGAUACCCGUGUAGUCG
rnacentral:rRNA from 1 species